UAAUAUGAAAGAAACGUAGAAGUAUAUUCUGUACAUGGGCACUUGGGAUAUAUAGAGUUAGUAGUGCAACCGGCUUCCAGUAUU
rfam:Paeniclostridium sordellii ATCC 9714 gcs9714.contig.103, whole genome shotgun sequence.